UACAGAGGGUGCAAGCGUUGUUCGGAAUUACUGGGCGUAAAGCGUGCGUAGUCGGUAUUGAGAGUCGCGGGUGAAAUCCCAGGGCUUAACCCUGGAACUGCCUGCGAGACCUCAGUACUAGAGUGUGAGAGGGGAUAGUGGAAUACCCAGUGUAGCGGUGAAAUGCGUAGAGAUUGGGUGGAACACCGGUGGCGAAGGCGGCUAUCUGGCUCACAACUGACGAUCAGGCACGAAAGCGUGGGGAGCAAACAGG
rnacentral:rRNA from 3 species